AGGUGAUUUUGGAUAAGAAAAAGUUGGUGUGUGUAUGUGUUUACUUCCUGAUCAGAAGAAGAAGAGUAUCGAUUUCGUGUUGCUUAUCUGAUUUUCGUUGUUGGUUUAAAUCUGCUAUCCAAUUGUGAUUACAAGGUUUGAUGCGAUGAAAUGGGGUUGUCUCAUCUAUAUAAUGCGACCAAAAGAGGUCGGACACUAGAAGAAGGUAAAGGGAAAUGGAAGAAGUUAAAGGAUUUGUAUAACUUUACAUCUGUGGAUUUUUGGGAAGAUGAAUAUGUACAUGAUUUUUGAAUUUGUGUUAUUCAAGUCAUGUAAUUAUAAGAGCAAAAAGUUUGUAGCUACUUUGUAUGUACCAAUAUGCGUACAAUUGCAACCAAUGCGUAAUAUUUGUAUUUCAUGUUAUAUGAAAUAUGUAAAUUUUA